rnacentral:tRNA from 1 species
UUCGGCGUAGUCUAACAGGUCAGGACAUUCGCACCGCUCAUUGAACAAGCGAAAGAUCCAGGUUCAAAUCCUGGCGCCGAAC